rnacentral:pre_miRNA from 14 species
GCGACGGCAACGGUGACAGUCUCCCCCCCCCAUAAAGUAGCGAGCACGACUCCGCCCCCGCGCCCGUGUAGUGUUUCCUACUUUAUGGAGGGGGUGGCUGGGAGCAACGGAGACGCGGG